rnacentral:rRNA from 1 species
AUUGAACGCUGGCGGAAUGCUUUACACAUGCAAGUCGAACGGCAGCACGGGGGCAGCCCUGGUGGCGAGUGGCGAACGGGUGAGUAAUACAUCGGAACGUGCCCGGUCGUGGGGGAUAACGUAGCGAAAGGUACGCUAAUACCGCAUACGAUCUGAGGAUGAAAGCGGGGGACCUUCGGGCCUCGCGCGAGCGGAGCGGCCGAUGUCAGAUUAGGUAGUUGGUGGGGUAACGGCCUACCAAGCCGACGAUCUGUAGCUGGUCUGAGAGGACGAGCAGCCCCGCUGGGCCUGAGACACGGCCCAGGCUCCGACGGGCGGCAGCAGUGGGGACUUUUGGACAAUGGGCGCAAGCCUGAUCCAGCCAUUCCGCGUGCAGGACGAAGGCCUUCGGGUUGUAAACUGCUUUUGUACGGAACGAAAAGGCUCUGGCUAAUACCUGGGGCUCAUGACGGUACCGUAAGAAUAAGCACCGGCUAACUACGU